GAUUUAUUUUACGAAUUUGUAUCAGGGUUCUUCGCUAUUUAAUAACGCAUUCGCUAUAAAACAGCUAAUUAGAAAAAAAUCUGGAUUUGUUAGUUUUUGUUAGAUUGUUCUCUAAUUUGCGAGCUAGGUACAUGCUAAAUUGCGGUAUCUUAUAUCGAGCGGUCCAAUAAAUUUUUAAUUGAAGUUGGCGCUGGAACUGCUGAAGCCGUAGGCCUUCUUGAGUUGAUUCAGUUAUUUGUGACACCUAAUUUUUAUUUUCUUAACCCUCAUCUGCAUGAGUUCGGAAAUACAGGGUGAUUCAGCUAAGAAAAGAGCCUGACGAUCUGGCGAUGCAGCCCAAAAAACACAUUUCAUUUACGCCUUUGAUGCAAUUUAAAUUAGGAUUUGCAAGUUGAAUCCAAUUUAUCAUCUUAUAUGAAAGAAUGAAACAUUAAGGGUAUGUAACCAGUUUUUUCAAAAUCAUAAAUUGCAAAAAAGACAGGGAGACAAAAAAUUGACUGUUAGCGAAAAAAAAGUUCUAAAUGCUGGUCCCUGCUUGUUUUUCUUGAAAGACAAAUGGCCCGAUUAUGCGACUCUCGAAGAUGCAUGUCACACUAAAUGUUCACCAAAACAAUUCAUUGGAAAUGUGUUUCACUUAUCCACAGUGGAUGUGUGGUGUUAGAAAAUUUGGCUUCAUCACUGAACAAAAUUUUCUGUAUAAAGUUAUUGUCAAUUUGUAUUUGGGUUUUGAUAAAGAGGCAAAAAUCUGAUAAAAUUUAUUUCCCCUCAGAAUACGACAAAUUGAAGUCCGGCUGAUGCUUGUUGGUUCUGAGAGUCAUGUAUGUUAUUACGCGAACUUCAUUUUCCAAAGACCUAGUAGUGCGUUUUCUUCUUCGACGAAGAGGCCAAUUUCUUCUAAGUUUCCUCUCAAAACGUUUAAAAAUCAUGCCACUAGGAAGUUGUCUGUUCGGGAAAGUUUGGGCAAACAAAUUCAUGGUAGCAAACAGCAAUGCAAGGUACAAUGUGACAAUAACGACCAGCACCAUAGACCAGCAUUGAUGCCAAAACUUGUCAAGUACUGUCAGAGCAACAAAAUAACUUGGACUGCAAAUGCAAAUCGUAAUUAAAAUGAGAUAUAGACGCAAAUGAAAAUUUGUUUUUUGUGUUGCAUCGCCAGAUCGUCAGGCUCAUUAUCUUAUCUCAAUCACCCUGUAUACCUAUUCUGCAUAGGUUGGGUCUAAUGGACCCAUAGGGUAAAAUACCAAUUUUUGACAUUCGAAUUGCUUUUUUGAUAUUUUUGAUAAAUGAUUACUAUUUUAUUUAAACAUGCAGGUGUCCGGAAAGUCGCGCACCUCCUUGAAAGGGAGUAAUUGAGUAGUCUCCCAGAGUACCAAAAAAUGUUUAAAAAAAAAUGCACAUGCUGUGUUUUUACAUAAGAGCCUAAACAAUUUUUGAAAAAGGCAACGUUGCUCAAAGAUACACGUAAAAACGAAAAUUGAAAAUUAUAAUGAAAGUCUUGUAUACCAUUGUAAGGAACACAUUUAAUUACUAGUGUUUAAAAUCAUGGUUGUUGUUAAUCGGAUUAGUUCGUCCAUUAUUGUAAUUUUUAUUUAAUUUAUUGAAUGCAAAAGAGCGGAGAACAGCUUUAUUAAUUGUAAUGAUAUUUUAAACAAUUAAACAAUUUAAGGUACGAAUAAAUAAACAAUGCACUAAAAAAUAUAACAAAUGCUCAAAGUUUUGGCGUAAUGUUUCUGGAAUGAUCGUAGCACUAGCGGCAUGAAUUCGGUUCACUAACUCCUCACGAGUUCUUCUUCUGAAACUGCUUCGUCCUCAGCAACGGUUUUCUUACCUUUGGAUCGACCAAGUUCCUUGGUAAAAGAUCCAAACGACCAGUUGAUCGCAUACUUUGGUCUAAUCUAUGAAAAGUGUUUACGUCUGGAUUCUGGAUGCCUUCGAUUGGGGUAUCGUAUGUCAUACUGACGAGAGGAUUCACUUGCAUUUCCAGCGUAUUUACCAAACAGCAAAUACAAGUCACAAUAUUCAUUGUGGAAAGCAUUUUAAUCCUUCACUGACACUUUUUGACAUUGAAAAACUCUCGCUGACAGACGAAACAAAAAUUUUAAUGUCAUUAUAAUCAAUCACCGUAACCAUGACAUUUGAACAACAAUAGUUUGUGCCAAGUGUUGCCAGAUUUAACAUCAUUGUUAACUCAAAAAUUUUGUUAACAUUUUUAAAAGAAUCUGGAAAAGUUUCUUAAAUUUUUAUGUUGCUAAGUCUUUAUCAAUCAAUAAUUUUUUAAAAAAGAUGAAAAAUGCCAUACGUCCUUUCGUACGCAGGUAAUUGUUUUUUUACUGUCUGCUAAAAACCUUGUUAUCACAUGGCUCAGAGGUUGUCUUCGACUUUAUAUGAAUUUUAGAAUGACAAUUAUGGUGUUUGCAAAAAAAUUGAUACUUUUCAGUUUCAUAGAAAUAAAAUAAUUAAAUGGGACAAAUUCCAAUUCCAGAAGCACCUGAGAUCGUACACUCUUCUAUAAACAGUCCGUAUUUACUUAUUUAUACUAUUUAUUAUACAGGGUGAUUCAGAUAAAAUAAAGAGCCUGACUUUCUGGCGAUGCAACACAAAAAACAAUUUUCAUUUACUUUCUUGAUCUCAUUUUCAUUACGAUUUGCAUUAGCAAUCCAAGUAAUCAUACGUUGCUUUGACAAAGCUUUGAAAAGUUAUGACAUUACUGCUUGUCUUUGUUGUCACAUUAUUCACUGCAUUGUACCGUUCGUUGUUCAUACUCCUAUCAAAAAUGGUUUCGUAACAACGAAAAAACUGAUAUGGCUUUAAUUAGAGUUUUUUUAUUGGGAUAUUGAGAUAAUAUAGGAACUCUAGUUUUAAUAUAUGGGGAUUGAAGAAGAAAUGCUGUUGCUGCAUUGAAUUUGUAUGUCCAGCCUUUGGCACCCUGGAAGAGCGACAGGAACGCAUAACCAACGCAGUCCACAAUGUUUCGCCGGAACUUUUACAGCGUGUUCGAAGGUCUUUUCUCAAUAGAGUAGGGGCUUGCGAACAAGCAGGAGGCCAGCAUUUUGAACACCUUCUUCGUUAAUAAUCUUUUUUUGUCUUCCCGUUUAUCUUUGCCAUUUAUGAUUUAGAAUAAAACAGUUUGCCCACUUUUAAUGUUCCAUUUUUUCAUACAUUUUGUAUUGGAGUUUAAUCGUAUAGACUUGUCUAAACUUUCUUUAUCAUUCCGCGAACGUAUACAUACGAGCUUUAGUUUUCUCAAAGAAAACUGAGAAUAUGCUAUGUUUGUGUAGUAAAAUUUACCAUCCUUAGACACAACCUCUUCGGCCCUAUUCGGAAAUUCGUCAUAAUGAGCUCGGAACGCUAUUUAAUAAUUUAUUUAAGAAAAAACACUGGUUCAAAAAUAAUGUAAUUGAUCUAUUAGAGUCAUUCUUAGGGCAUAAUCUUUUAUCCAAAAAAGUCGCCGUAUUAGGGUGUCAUUUGAAAUUUUUUUUUAAAUAACUCUAAAUUUAAAAAAAAUUCAAAAUAGUUGUUUACAGUAAGAGUGAGAAAGGUGAAGCUUCCGUUGACGCGAAAUGCAAAUUUGAGUGAACGAAAGCGACGUUACACUCGUGUUGUAUUUGGUUUUAAUCGAUACCUCAAUAAGUGGAUCUUUGUAUUCGAAAUUAUUUGACAUUAUUGACAUUCCUCUAACAUUUAAUUAAAAAAAUAUAUAAACCUUAUUGUCAAGAGUAGAGUUCCUAUAUUGGGAGAGUUGGGACACUGAAUGUCAAUUUUCGAAAUUUUGUUUUAUAUACGUCGGUUGGAAUGUAUAAAAAAAACAAAUUGGGAUAGAAAUCAGUGGUGUUAUACUUGAAAUUUGGCGAAAAGUCAAAUAAAUUUGUCAAAAAAUGUUUCCAUUUUUCGUCGACCAACUGCGUUUAUAAAUGGUUUAGACUGGCAGUCGUCGUCAAUUCACUGUUUUUUUUAUAUGAACUCCAAAUUUUAAAAGAGAUUUCUUUAAAUGGUUAUCAUCGAUGAAAGAGACAGAAACUGAACCUUUCCUGCCAAGUUUUACGUUUAUUAUUAACAAGCAUUUGGAAAAGUGGAUUGUCGAAAUAAUGUUAU